rnacentral:rRNA from 1 species
UACGAAGGGGGCUAGCGUUGUUCGGAUUUACUGGGCGUAAAGCGCACGUAGGCGGUUUGUUAAGUCAGAGGUGAAAUCCCGGAGCUCAACUCCGGAACUGCCUUUGAUACUGGCAAGCUAGAGUCCGGAAGAGGUAAGUGGAACUCCUAGUGUAGAGGUGGAAUUCGUAGAUAUUAGGAAGAACACCAGUGGCGAAGGCGGCUUACUGGUCCGGAACUGACGCUGGAGGUGCGAAAGCGUGGGGAGCAAACAGG